rnacentral:precursor_RNA from 1 species
CCACACCCACCCGUUGGUGCAGGUGCCGGCUCCUUACCAACAGGCGGGCCUGUGU